rnacentral:rRNA from 1 species
UUCGCCCUUAGAGUUUGAUCCUGGCUCAGGAUGAACGCUGGCGGCGUGCCUAACACAUGCAAGUCGAACGAAGCUUGAUGAAUGAUUUCUUCGGAAUGAAUUCUGAUAUGACUUAGUGGCGGACGGGUGAGUAACACGUGAGCAACCUGCCUUUCAGAGGGGGAUAACGGCUGGAAACGGUCGCUAAUACCGCAUGAUAUGUUUAGAUGGCAUCAUCUGGACAUCAAAGAUUUAUCGCUGAAAGAUGGGCUCGCGUCUGAUUAGAUAGUUGGUGAGGUAACGGCUCACCAAGUCGACGAUCAGUAGCCGGACUGAGAGGUUGAACGGCCACAUUGGGACUGAGAUACGGCCCAGACUCCUACGGGAGGCAGCAGUGGGGAAUAUUGCACAAUGGGGGAAACCCUGAUGCAGCAACGCCGCGUGAAGGAAGACGGUUUUCGGAUUGUAAACUUCUUUUCUUUGUGAAGAAACAAAUGACGGUAGCAAAGGAAUAAGCAUCGGCUAACUACGUGCCAGCAGCCGCGGUAAUACGUAGGAUGCAAGCGUUAUCCGGAUUUACUGGGUGUAAAGGGAGCGCAGGCGGGACUUCAAGUUGGAUGUGAAAGGUCAAGGCUUAACCUUGGCACUGCAUCCAAAACUGUAGUUCUUGAGUGGAGUAGAGGUAAGCGGAAUUCCGAGUGUAGCGGUGAAAUGCGUAGAUAUUCGGAGGAACACCAGUGGCGAAGGCGGCUUACUGGGCUCUAACUGACGCUGAGGCUCGAAAGUGUGGGGAGCAAACAGGAUUAGAUACCCUGGUAGUCCACACUGUAAACGAUGAUAGCUAGGUGUGGGGGGUCUGACCCCUUCCGUGCCGGAGUUAACGCAAUAAGCUAUCCACCUGGGGAGAACGACCGCAAGGUUGAAACUCAAAGGAAUUGACGGGGGCCCGCACAAGCAGUGGAUUAUGUGGUUUAAUUCGAAGCAACGCGAAGAACCUUACCAGGUCUUGACAUCGUACGCAUAGCAUAGAGAUAUGUGAAAUCCCUUCGGGGACGUAUAGACAGGUGGUGCAUGGUUGUCGUCAGCUCGUGUCGUGAGAUGUUGGGUUAAGUCCCGCAACGAGCGCAACCCUUACUGUUAGUUGCUACGCAAGACCACUCUAGCGAGACUGCCGUUGACAAAACGGAGGAAGGUGGGGACGACGUCAAAUCAUCAUGCCCCUUAUGACCAGGGCUACACACGUACUACAAUGGCAGUCAUACAGAGGGAAGCAAAGCUGUGAAGCAGAGCAAAUCCCUAAAAGCUGUCCCAGUUCAGAUUGCAGGCUGCAACUCGCCUGCAUGAAGUCGGAAUUGCUAGUAAUCGCGGAUCAGCAUGCCGCGGUGAAUACAAGCCCGGGCCUUGCACACACCGCCCGUCA